CUUGGUAUAAGCUUUCGUGUGCAUGCACACUUCUUCAGUGUUUCAGUAUAUCUGAAGAAGUGGGCAUGCACACGAAAGCUUAUACCAAG